rnacentral:lncRNA from 1 species
CUGCUUGCCUGUACUCCAUCCUGCCACCCUGUGAAGAAGGUUCCUGCUUCUCCUUUACCUUCUGCCAUGACUGUAAGUUUCCUGAGGCUUCCCCAGCAAUGAGUAACUGUGAGUCAAUUAAAUCUGUUUCCUUUAUAAAUUACCCAGUUUCAGGUAUUUCUUCAUAGCAGUGUGAGAACGGAUGAAUACACUAACGUUUGAAAAAGACUAAGCUAUUGUAAUUCACAAAUUCAUUAAACUAGGUCAAUGAUGCCCAGAUGAGAAUUUUAUUACAAAACAGCAAAAAUAAGUAAGAGUUAAGGACUUAACCUAUGGCUUAACGGGGAAAACCAAAGAAAAGAAAGCUUUGAAAUUGCCUUCAGGAGAACAGAAUAUUUUAGGAGGCACUAUUUGCCCUGAUAUUUGCUGUUUUCAUUUUAGAGGGGUUAAAUUGCUGGACAUUGCACUCUCCACUUACAGUUUAAGCCUGGAGUGACUGAGAUUAAGAAAUUUCAGGCUGCUAGUGUCAUUUUUCUAGUCACGCUCAGUGUUUCAGUUGUGUUGUCUUGCUUUAUAUUCUAUACUGUCUUUUUUAAAAGUAUAGGACAUUACUAGAAGCAAUCAACUUAAAAUAAGCCUUUCAUGCGCGUCCGUGUGAAGAGACCACCAAACAGGCUUUGUGUGAGCAACAAGGCUGUUUAUUUCACCUGGGUGCAGGCGGGCUGAGUCCGAAAAUAGAGUCAGCAAAGGGAGAUAAGGGUGGGGCCAUUUUAUAGGAUUUGGGUAGAUAAAGGAAAAUUACAGUCAAAGGGGGUUGUUCUCUGGCGGGCAGAGUGGGGGUCACAAGGUGCUCAGUAGGGGAGCUUUUGAGCCAGGAUGAGCCAGGAGAAGGAAUUUCACAAGACAUUGUCAUCAGUUAAGGCAGGAACAGGCCAUUUUCACUUUUUUUGUGGUGGAAUGUCAUCAGUUAAGGCAGGAACCGGCCAUCUGGAUGUGUAUGUGUAGGUCACAGGGGAUAUGAUGGCUUAGCUUGGGCUCAGAGGCCUGACAUGCCUGUCUUCUUAUAUUAAUAAGAAAAAUAAAAUGAAAUAGUGGUAAAAUGUUGGGACGGUGAAGAUUUUGGGGGAUGGUAUGGACAGAUAAUCGGCGAUGUUUCUCAGGGCUGCUUCCGGCAGGAUUAGGGGCAGCAUGGGAACCUAGAGUGGGAGAGAUUAAGCUGAAGGAAGAUUCUGUGGUAAGGGGUGAUAUUGUGAGGUUGUUAGAAGAAACAUUUGUCAUUUAGAAUUAUUGGUGAUGGCCUGGAUAGAGUUUUGUAUGAAUUGAAAAACUAAACGGAAUAAGAGAAGGAGAAAAACAGGUAUUAAAGGACUAAGAAUUGGGAGGACCUAGGACAUCUAAUUAGAGAGUGCCUAAGGAGGUUCAGCAUAGCCUUGCCAGUAAAGAUUAUUUAUUUAAGAGUUAAGAGUGGUGGUUUGGGGAUAGCACAAGGAGAUAUCAGCUGUGAUGGCUUGGAGAAACAGUGUAAACUGGCAGUGUAAACAAGAGCAGGGCACGUUUGAGUAGUUGAGAAUGGUGAAUAGGAGUAUGACUAGACAGAAGACAGUAGGGAUGACAAGUUUUUUUUGGGCACAGUCUAAGUUGGUCUGGUGUCUGGAAUGAGACUGGGGCCUAAUAAAAAGGAGCAUCUAUACAGGAGCUCAAAUGGGCUGUACCCUGUAGCAUUCUGAGGACAGGUCUGACUUCUGAGAAGGGAAAGUGGUAAAAGUAUUGUCCAGUCCUUUUUAAGUUGGUGGCUGAGCUUGGUGCAGUGUGUUUUUAAAAGACCUUCAGUCCGUUCUACUUUUCCUGAAGACGGAGGACCGUAAGGGAUAUAAAGGUUUCACUGAAUACUAAGAGCCUGAAAAACUGCUUGACUGAUUUGACUAAUAAAGGCUGAUCUGUUAUCAGACUGUAUAGAGGUGGGAAGGCUAAACUGAGGAAUUAUGUGUGACAGAAGGGAAGAAAUGACUGCGAUGGCCUUCUCAGACCCUGGAGGAAAGGCCUGUACCUAUCCAGUGAAAGUGUCUAUCUAGACUAAGAGGUAUUUUAGUUAUCUGACUCGGGGCAUGUUGAGUAAAGCUAAUUUGCCAGUCCUGGGUGGGGGCAAAUCCUCAAGCUUGAUGUGUAGGGAAGGGAGGGGGCCUGAAUAAUCCUUGAGGAGUAGUAGAAUAGCAGAUGGAACACUGAGAAGUUAUUUCCUUGAGGAUAGAUUUCCACAAUGGAAAGAAAAUGAGAGGUUCUAAGAGGCGGGCUAGUGGCUUGUACUAUAGCAUAGCCUGCCUUUGCUGGUGUGUGGUGAUUAGGCCUGGUGGAACUGCCAUCAAUAAAUCAAGCGUGAUCAGGGUGAGGAACAGGAAACAAGGAAAUAUGGGGAAAUGGGGUGAAUGUCAGGUGGAUUAGAGAGAUACGGUCAUGAGGGUCAGGUGUGGUAUCCAGAAUAAUGUGGCAGGCCAGAUUGAAGUCUGGGCCAGGAACAAUGGUAAUUGUGGGACUUAACAAAGAGUGAGUACAGCUGAAGGAGCUGGGGAGCAGAAAGUAUAUGCCUCAGGAAUGAGGCAGAAAAUAGAUUUUGGAAGUUAUGAGCAAUGUAGAGAGUACGUUGAGCAUAGUUUGUGAUUUUGAGGGCCUCUAAAAGUAUUAGGGCAGCAGCAGCUGCUGCACGGAGACAUGAUGGCCAGCCUAAAACAGUAAGGUCAAGUUGUUUGGACAAAAAGGCUACAGGAUGCCAUCCUGGUCCUUGUGUAAGAAUUCCAACUGCACAGCCCUGCACUUCGGCUGUGUGUAAUGAAAAGGGUUGGGAUGAGUCAGGGAGAGCUAGAGUGGGGGCAGUCUCUAAAGCUGUCUUCAAGGAAUGGAAAGAGGAGUGGGGAAAGGAUUUAGGAUCUAUAGGGUCAGCUAGGUUUCCUUUUGUGAGUUUAUAUAAUGGUUUUGUUAGGAAUGCAAAACCAGGUAUCCAAAGGCGAAAGUAUCCAACCAUGCCCAGGAAGGAAAGGAGUUGUUGUUUUGUAGAAGGGGUUGGGGUUUGAGAGAUUAGUUGAACACGAUCGGCAGGGAGAGAACGUGUGUUUUUAUGAAGAAUUAUGCCGAGGUAGGUAACAGAUGGAGAAGAAAUUUGAGCUUUGGAGGGGGAUACCUGAUAUCCUUUGGAGAAUAAAUGCUGAAGGAGCAGAAGUGUGUCUUGUUGAGAAGAUUCAAAGGAGGGACUACAAAGAAGAAGGUCAUGAAUAUAUUGAAUAAGGAAUGGUUCAAUAACAUUCAGUGCCCUAAAGGAGGAAAGGAGAUUGUAGUAUACUCAACUGAAUUAAGAAGAAAGACCUUCCAAUCUUCUUGUCAGGCCUCUGAGCCCAAGCUAAACCAUCGUAUGCCCUGUGACCUGCAUAUAUAUGUCCAGAUGGCCUGAAGCAAGUGAAGAAUCACAAAAGAAGUGAAAAUGGCCUGUUCCUGCCUUAACUGAUGACAUUCCACCAUUGUGAUUUGUUUCUGCCCCACCUUAACUCAGCGAUUAACCUUGUGAAAUUCCUUCUCCUGGCUCAGAAGCUCCCCCACUGAGCACCUCGUGACACCCCCACCCCUGCCCACAAGAGAAAAAACCCCCUUUGAUUGUAAUUUUCCACUACCCACCCAAAUCCUAUAAAAUGGCCCCACCCCUAUCUCCCUUUGCUGACUCUCUUUUUGGUCUCAGCCCGCCUGCACCCAGGUGAUUAAAAAGCUUUAUUGCUCACAC